AGUAAAUUUCUUUAUAGGACGAUGGGUCGUUGUCUUCAUGGGUGUCACACACAUAAGAAAAUGAAUCCAAUAUGUAAAGAUCGAGAUAUUCUGGUGAAUGAAAAUGGGAGAGCGACAUGUGAAGUGAGUCAACAAGUUAACACGGGACAAACUGAACGUCAUUAUCGAAACUACUGUUCAAACGUGAGCAGCUCUCAACAACUUGUAAGUUGUAACCACAUAUCUAUUUUUCAAAUCCAGUCCAAACAAUCACAAUAAUUGAGGAUUCACAACAAGGUGAGAAAUGAGUCACAUGUGUCGUGCUAAAUUUCAGGAAUGUAAAAAUAUUUGCUCUUGUAAUAAUAAUAAUAAUAAUAAUUAGAUUAAUAAUAAUAAUAAUAUGGGUGAGACUUUUUGCCUUUUA